rnacentral:rRNA from 1 species
CACAUGCAAGUCGAGGGGCAGCAUAAUGGAUAGCAAUAUCUAUGGUGGCGACCGGCGCACGGGUGCGUAACGCGUAUGCAACCUACCUUUAACAGGGGGAUAACACUGAGAAAUUGGUACUAAUACCCCAUAAUAUCAUAGAAGGCAUCUUUUAUGGUUGAAAAUUCCGAUGGUUAGAGAUGGGCAUGCGUUGUAUUAGCUAGUUGGUGGGGUAACGGCUCACCAAGGCGACGAUACAUAGGGGGACUGAGAGGUUAACCCCCCACACUGGUACUGAGACACGGACCAGACUCCUACGGGAGGCAGCAGUGAGGAAUAUUGGUCAAUGGACGCAAGGCUGAACCAGCCAUGCCGCGUGCAGGAUGACGGCUCUAUGAGUUGUAAACUGCUUUUGUACGAGGGUAAACGCAGAUACGUGUAUCUGUCUGAAAGUAUCGUACGAAUAAGGAUCGGCUAACUCCGUGCCAGCAGCCGCGGUAAUACGGAGGAUUCAAGCGUUAUCCGGAUUUAUUGGGUUUAAAGGGUGCGUAGGCGGUUUGAUAAGUUAGAGGUGAAAUUUCGGGGCUCAACCCUGAACGUGCCUCUAAUACUGUUGAGCUAGAGAGUAGUUGCGGUAGGCGGAAUGUAUGGUGUAGUGGUGAAAUGCUUAGAGAUCAUACAGAACACCGAUUGCGAAGGCAGCUUACCAAACUAUAUCUGACGUUGAGGCACGAAAGCGUGGGGAGCAAACAGGAUUAGAUACCCUGGUAGUCCACGCAGUAAACGAUGAUAACUCGCUGUCGGCGAUACACAGUCGGUGGCUAAGCGAAAGCGAUAAGUUAUCCACCUGGGGAGUACGUUCGCAAGAAUGAAACUCAAAGGAAUUGACGGGGGCCCGCACAAGCGGAGGAACAUGUGGUUUAAUUCGAUGAUACGCGAGGAACCUUACCCGGGCUUGAAAGUUAGCGACGGAUCUGG